UGGGGAAUUUUGGACAAUGGGGGAAACCCUGAUCCAGCCAUCCCGCGUGUGCGAUGAAGGCCUUCGGGUUGUAAAGCACUUUUGGCAGGAAAGAAACGUCAUGGGUUAAUACCCCGUGAAACUGACGGUACCUGCAGAAUAAGCACCGGCUAACUACGUGCCAGCAGCCGCGGUAAUACGUAGGGUGCAAGCGUUAAUCGGAAUUACUGGGCGUAAAGCGUGCGCAGGCGGUUCGGAAAGAAAGAUGUGAAAUCCCAGAGCUCAACUUUGGAACUGCAUUUUUAACUACCGGGCUAGAGUGUGUGAGAGGGAGGUGGAAUUCCGCGUGUAGCAGUGAAAUGCGUAAAUAUGCGAAGGAACACCGAUGGCGAAGGCAGCCUCCUGAGAUAACACUGACGCUCAUGCACGAAAGCGUGGGGAGCAAACAGG
rnacentral:rRNA from 1 species